rnacentral:rRNA from 1 species
UGGCGGCGUGCCUAAUACAUGCAAGUCGAACGGUCUUUCUAUGGAAGCUUGCUUCCACUGAGAAGAUAGUGGCGAACGGGUGAGUAACACGUGGGUAACCUGCCCAUAAGAGGGGGGAUAACAUCCGGAAACGGGUGCUAAUACCGCAUAGUUUUCUUGAUCGCAUGAUCGGGAAAGGAAAGACGGCCUUUGUGCUGUCGCUUAUGGAUGGACCCGCGGCGUAUUAGUUAGUUGGUGAGGUAACGGCUCACCAAGACGAUGAUACGUAGCCGACCUGAGAGGGUGAUCGGCCACAUUGGGACUGAGACACGGCCCAAACUCCUACGGGAGGCAGCAGUAGGGAAUCUUCCGCAAUGGACGAAAGUCUGACGGAGCAACGCCGCGUGAGUGAAAGAAGGUUUUCGGAUCGUAAAACUCUGUUGUCAGAGAAGAACAAGUUGGAGAGUAACUGCUCCAGCCUUGACGGUAUCUGACCAGAAAGCCACGGCUAACUACGUGCCAGCCGCCGC